rnacentral:rRNA from 1 species
AACGAACGCUGGCGGCAUGCCUAACACAUGCAAGUCGAACGAGACCUUCGGGUCUAGUGGCGCACGGGUGCGUAACGCGUGGGAACCUGCCCUUAGGUUCGGAAUAACUCCCCGAAAGGGGUGCUAAUACCGGAUAAUGUCUUCGGACCAAAGAUUUAUCGCCUUUGGAUGGGCCCGCGUUGGAUUAGCUAGUUGGUAGGGUAAAAGCCUACCAAGGCGACGAUCCAUAGCUGGUCUGAGAGGAUGAUCAGCCACACUGGGACUGAGACACGGCCCAGACUCCUACGGGAGGCAGCAGUGGGCAAUAUUGGACAAUGGGCGAAAGCCUGAUCCAGCAAUGCCGCGUGAGUGAUGAAGGCCUUAGGGUUGUAAAGCUCUUUUACCCGGGAUGAUAAUGACAGUACCGGGAGAAUAAGCUCCGGCUAACUCCGUG